GAGUUUGAUCAUGGCUACAGAUUGAACGCUGGCGGCAUGCUUUACUACAUGCAAGUCGAACGGCAGCACAGGGAGCUUGCUCCCGGGUGGCGAGUGGCGCACGGGUGAGUAAUACAUCGGAACGUGUCCUGUUGUGGGGGAGUAACUGCUCGAAAGGGUGGCUAAUACCGCAUGAGACCUGAGGGUGAAAGCGGGGGAUCGUAAGACCUCGCGCAAUUGGAGCGGCCGAUGCCCGAUUAGCUAGUUGGUGAGGUAAAGGCUCACCAAGGCGACGAUCGGUAGCUGGUCUGAGAGGACGACCAGCCACACUGGGACUGAGACACGGCCCAGACUCCUACGGGAGGCAGCA
rnacentral:rRNA from 1 species